UUCAAUUUCAGUUUAGAUUUUAUUCGCUAUUUUGGUAGACGAGUAAUAUUUUAUGUUUUGGCAAUAUGGCCAUUGAAAUUUUAUUCGCUAUAAUAUAUUGGUAUAAUACUAUACAAUUUAUAAUUCAAUUAAAAAUAUUUCAAUGCUAUCUACAAGUCAUGCUCUGUUAAAUCAAUCAAGGAAAUAAAAGUAAAUGUCCGAUUUUCGGCUGAAAUACAACAAUAUUUGUAAUGGGGUCGUUUUGGAGU